rnacentral:rRNA from 1 species
CACUCCGCCUGGGGACUACGGUCGCAAGACUAAAACUCAAAGGAAUUGACGGGGACCCGCACAAGCGGUGGAGCAUGUGGUUUAAUUCGAUGCAACGCGAAAAACCUUACCACUCCUUGACAUGGAGAUUAGAUCCUUCUUAACAGAAGGGCGCAGUUCGGCUGGAUCUCGCACAGGUGCUGCAUGGCUGUCGUCAGCUCGUGUCGUGAGAUGUUGGGUUAAGUCCCGCAACGAGCGUAACCCUCAUCCUUAGUUGCCAGCGGGUAAAGCCGGGCACUUUAAGGAAACUGCCGGUGGUAAACUGGAGGAAGGUGGGGAUGAUGUCAAGUCAGCACGGCCCUUAUGGGGUGGGCUACACACGUGCUACAAUGGUGACUACAAUAGGUUGCAAUGUCGCAAGGCUGAGCUAAUCCGUAAAAGUCAUCUCAGUUCGGAUUGUCCUCUGCAACUCGAGGGCAUGAAGUCGGAAUCGCUAGUAAUCGUGGAUCAGCAUGCCACGGUGAAUACGUUCUCGGGUCUUGUACACACUGCCCGUCACGCCAUGGGAAUUGGCUUAACUCGAAGCUGGUGCGCUAACCGAAA